GCUUGAUUGGCUCAGUCAGUUGAGCUUCUGACUUCAACUCAGGUCAUGAUAUCACAGUUCACGAGUUCUAGCCUUGCAUUGGGCU
rnacentral:tRNA from 1 species